AGGCGAUCAUCUCCAUGAGCCCCAGUCGGAUCACGGCCGCCUUGGUGUUGUCGCCAAAGCCCAGCCCAUCACAGAAGCCAGCCCCCACGGCCACUAUAUUCUUUGAAGAGUGAAGUCAUGGGUCUGUCCAGGAUCCAGUUCUGGCCAUCAGUCUGUCUGGGUGUCCUGGACAUCUUAUCUCCCAUUAGCCUGAGUGCUCCCCCAGGGCAUCUCCUCUUCCCCCUGGACCAACCUUUGGAGCCAGGGACAGGGAUGUCCCACAGGGGGCUAUAGGGGAAAGGAAGAAGGAAGCCCAAUGUCUGAUGGAACAAAAUUAUGCCUACUACAGAGCCAGCCUCCCACAGAUCACUGUUAUUGCACUGGCACUGCGACAAAGGCACCAGUGCCAGGCUGCCAGCUGGGAGCACUGAUUAUGGGUGAUGGAAGAGAAAGAAUGCUUCUGUCCCUGGCACACAGGAUGAGAACCCCAAAGAAUGGAUGUUUAUGCAUAAAAUAACCUCUUGUUUUUGCCUAAAUGCUUCCAUCUUUUUGUCCCUACGAUCAUUUUAAGUAGUAUGGAGACAAAUAAUUUGUUCAUUUAUAUAGGAAUAAGACUGUGCAGAUUCAGAAUUGG